AAAAUCUAUUGAUGAACCUGGAAAGCGUUGCAGAUUGUGGGAUGAAAGGGACAUCCAACAUGUUCUAACAAAAAAAACUGCCACGGAAGUGAUUGAAGCCAUGAUCAUCGACAAUCAAAGGGAAUCGAACAAGACACUCAAUUUGAGUGUCGAUGCCUUCUCGAAGAUGA